rnacentral:lncRNA from 1 species
GAAUUCAUAGAAGAGGGAAAUUUAGAAUAAAGAAAGUAUUUCAUUCAUCUAUUGGAAAUUCAUGAUACAAUGCAUAUUUCUUGAUAUACAAAUCAAAAGAAUGGAUUAUAAGGAAAGAGGAUAAAAAAAUUACAUCUUUUGGGAACAAUUGACUUUUUGGUCAAACAGUUGACUUUUGGUCAACCAUUGACCAUUGACUCGAUUUCGUCUCCUGAAUUUAAGUAGACCUAUUCCACAAGAAUUUGAUCAAAGGAUUCAU